rnacentral:rRNA from 1 species
AGGACGAACGCUGGCGGCGUGCUUAACACAUGCAAGUCGAGCGGUAAGGCUCCUUCGGGAGUACACGAGCGGCGAACGGGUGAGUAACACGUGAGUAAUCUGCCCUCCACUUCGGGAUAAGCGCCGGAAACGGCGUCUAAUACCGAAUACGACGCACUCUCGCAUGAGAUACGCGUGGAAAGUUUUAUCGGUGGAGGAUGCGCUCGCGGCCUAUCAGCUUGUUGGUGAGGUAACGGCUCACCAAGGCUUCGACGGGUA